rnacentral:rRNA from 1 species
AUUGAACGCUGGCGGCAGGCCUAACACAUGCAAGUCGAACGAGUGGCGGACGGGUGAGUAAUGUCUGGGAAACUGCCCGAUGGAGGGGGAUAACUACUGGAAACGGUAGCUAAUACCUCAUACCAUCGGAUGUGCCCCGAUGGGAUUAGCUAGUAGGUGGGGUAACGGCUCACCUAGGCGACGAUCCCUAGCUGGUCUGAGAGGAUGAACAGCCACACUGGAACGGAGACACGGUCCAGACUCCUACGGGAGGCAGCAGUGGGGAAUAUUGCACAAUGGGCGCAAGCCUGAGGCAGCCAUGCCGCGUGUAUGAAGAAGGCCUUCGGGUUGGAAAGGACUUUCAGCGAGGAGGCGUUACGCGCAGAAGAAGCACCGGCUAACUCCGUGCCAGCAGCCGCGGGAAUAC